rnacentral:rRNA from 1 species
GAAUUGUUCGCAAUGGGCGCAAGCCUGACGACGCAACGCCGCGUGGAGGACGAAGAUUUUCGGAUCGUAAACUCCUUUCGAUCGGGACGAAUCGUCCGCGACCUAAUACGUCCCGGGACUUACGGUACCGGGAGCAGAAGCCCCGGCUACCCCCGUGCCAGCAGCCGCGGUAAUACGGGGGGGGCUAGCGUUGUUCGGAAUUACUGGGCGUAAAGGGCGCGUAGGCGGCCUGCUAAGUCGGAUGUGAAAUCCCCCGGCUCAACCGGGGAACUGCAUCCGAUACUGGCGGGCUCGAAUCCGGGAGAGGGAUGUGGAAUUCCAGGUGUAGCGGUGAAAUGCGUAGAUAUCUGGAGGAACACCGGUGGCGAAGGCGGCAUCCUGGACCGGUAUUGACGCUGAGGCGCGAAAGCCAGGGGAGCAAACGGG